GUUUGCAUAGCUUUGCUGCUGUUCCUCACCCUCCCAGUAACAGUGGCAACUGCUGAAAGGUCAUUUUCAAAGCUAAAAUUAAUUAAAAGUUAUUUGAGAAGCACAAUGUCUCAGCAAAGACUUUCGGGACUUGCAACGUUAAGCAUUGAAAAUGAGAGAGCUAGAAGACUGAACAUUGACAGCAUUGUUGACGACUUUGCAGACGCGAAAGCAAGGCGUCGUAAAUUUUAAUGAGAGAGUAGUUUUCCAUCAAAGAAAGUUAAAUGUUUAAGUAGUUAAGUUGAAGUUACCGUUGUUGACCCUGUUGUGAACCCUUUUUUGAAGUUUCUUUGCCGCAUUUGAGGAAAUUUGAAAAUUUGAAACCACACCAUCAAUGGCUGUUACGUGUCACCUUUUACCUGUCCUGAAUGCUGCAUUGUU